rnacentral:lncRNA from 1 species
UAUUAAAAGGAUGUUAUCAUAGAAUCAUGCUUGAUAAUUUAUUUUACGAAAUUUACCCUUCUAUCUUGAAUGUUGACAUUUAAAAAAAAAAAAAAAAAAAGGGGGCAAAGGCAUGCUCAUAAGAUGCAAAUCACAUGAAUAGAAAUUUAUAAAAAUGAAAAGUAAUCCUCUAUCUUAUUGAUUUUUCAAUAAAUCUAUGCUUGUCAUAUAUGAAUUUAUUGAAUGUAAUUUUGAGGAUGAUUUCAGAUUUGACAAAUGCUUGAUUCGUAUUUACGACAUAAGAUACAUUUUAAAUAUGAAUCAUGCUUCAAUCAUGUUAAAUGCUUCAAUCAUUU